UACGGAGGGUGCAAGCGUUAAUCGGAAUUACUGGGCGUAAAGCGCACGUAGGUGGUUUGUUAAGCUAGCUGUGAAAUCCCCGGGCUUAACCUGGGAAUGGCAUUUGGGACUGCAAGGCUGGAGUGCGGCAGAGGAGACUGGAAUUCCUGGUGUAGCAGUGAAAUGCGUAGAUAUCAGGAGGAACACCGAUGGCGAAGGCAGGUCUCUGGGCUGACACUGACGCUCAUGCACGAAAGCGUGGGGAGCAAACAGG
rnacentral:rRNA from 1 species